rnacentral:rRNA from 1 species
GAACGCGAAAGUCCCGCAAGGGAUCAGUAGAGUGGCAAACGGGUGAGUAACACGUGGGUGACCUGCCUUCGAGUGGGGGAUAACGUCCCGAAAGGGACGCUAAUACCGCAUGACAUCCUGCCUUUUAAGAGGUGGAAAUCAAAGCCGGGGAUCGCAAGACCUGGCGCUUGAAGAGGGGCCCGCGUCCGAUUAGCUAGUUGGUGGGGUAAUGGCUCACCAAGGCAACGAUCGGUAUCCGGCCUGAGAGGGCGGACGGACACACUGGGACUGAGACACGGCCCAGACUCCUACGGGAGGCAGCAGUGGGGAAUUGUUCGCAAUGGGCGCAAGCCUGACGACGCAACGCCGCGUGGAGGAUGAAGAUCUUCGGGUCGUAAACUCCUUUCGAUCGAGACGAAUGGCCUGCGGGUUAACAGCCNCGUGGGAGUGACGGUACCGAGAGAAGAAGCCCCGGCUAACUCCGUG